AGCUCCAGUAGCGUAUAUUAAAAUUGUUGCAGUUAAAAAGCUCGUAGUUGAAUUUUUGCUAAAAAUAACCGGUCUGCUUUUAAUAAAGGUAGUAUCUUGGUGUGUUUUAAGCAAUAAUGUCCUUUGAAAUGUUUUUUACUUUAUUGUAAAAAACAAUAUUCAGGAUUUUUACUUUGAGAAAAUUAGAGUGUUUCAAGCAAGCUAACGUUUUGAAUACUGCAGCAUGGAAUAAUAAAAUAGGAUUUUGGUUCUACAGUAUUGGUUUUAAGAACUAAAUUAAUGAUUGAUAGGGACAGUUGGGGGCAUUUGUAUUUAACUGUCAGAGGUGAAAUUCUUAGAUUUGUUAAAGACAAACUACUGCGAAAGCAUUUGUCAAAGAUGUUUUCA
rnacentral:rRNA from 1 species